rnacentral:snoRNA from 1 species
GAAUCUAUACUUUCAGGGAUCAUUUCUAUAGUAUGUUACUAGAGAAGUUUCUCUGAUCGUGUAGAGCACCCUCAAACAUUAAUUAUAUAAUAUCAAUAUCCUUUGUAAACCUGGAAGUUGAUACUGUCUGGUAUG